rnacentral:rRNA from 1 species
UACGAAGGGGGCUAGCGUUGCUCGGAAUCACUGGGCGUAAAGCGCACGUAGGCGGAUCGUUAAGUCAGGGGUGAAAUCCUGGAGCUCAACUCCAGAACUGCCUUUGAUACUGGCGACCUUGAGUUCGGGAGAGGUGAGUGGAACUGCGAGUGUAGAGGUGAAAUUCGUAGAUAUUCGCAAGAACACCAAUGGCGAAGGCAGCUCGCUGGGACGGUACUGACGCUGAGGCGCGAAAGCGUGGGGAGCAAACAGG